CAGUCGCCACGGUAAUACGUAGGGCGCAAGCGUUGUCCGGAAUUAUUGGGCGUAAAGAGCUCGUAGGCGGUCUGUCGCGUCUGGUGUGAAAUCCCGAGGCUCAACCUCGGGCUUGCAUCGGGUACGGGCAGACUAGAGUGCGGUAGGGGAGACUGGAAUUCCUGGUGUAGCGGUGGAAUGCGCAGAUAUCAGGAGGAACACCGAUGGCGAAGGCAGGUCUCUGGGCCGCAACUGACGCUGAGGAGCGAAAGCAUGGGGAGCGAACAGGAUUAGAUACCCCCGUAGUCCCUGUCUCUUAUAC
rnacentral:rRNA from 1 species